UAAUCUGCAAAUAAAUACCAGAUAAAUGCAAAGUAAGUCAAAAAGAAAAAGAAAAAAAAAAGAAAAGAAUUCGAAUCCCCCUCCCUCAACCCACGUUGAAACCGUUCCCCUCUAUCCCACAAAUCUCUCCCAUAUCCCCAACCCCCUUUUCUCUAUAUUAAAUCCUGCAUCAGUUACUUCUCCCUCACCAAACGUUCUCUGCAGCUAAUCUACCAUCUUCAACUUCUAUCCAAGUAACCAAAUCCUCCAGCUUCAAGAACCAUUUUUUUUUCUUCUUCCUCAACAUCCGUCUGCAAUUGAAGGUGAAUCAUCGCAAGGGAAUCGUGAUCGCAAGGGAAAGAACGUAAUUUCAAAUUAAGCAC